rfam:Eubacterium sp. CAG:274 genomic scaffold, scf115
CAGUAUUUACCUGUUGAGGGCAAAUAAAAUGAAUAUGAGAAUCAAUGCCACCAGCUGUAACAAUAAGAUUUUCUCCUGCCAAAGCCUCUGUUGAUGCACCAAUAAUCAUAUUGGGUGUUACACCGUCCAUAACAUCUGGAUUUCCUGCUUUACCAAUGCCAACAAUUUUGCCGUUUUUAAUACCAAUAUCAGCCUUUAUAAUACCAGUAUAAUCUAUAAUAAGGGCAUUAGUAAUAACAAGGUCAAGGUCGCCGUCAGCACUUGUAGUAUUUACUGACUGACCCAUACCAUCUCUG